rnacentral:lncRNA from 1 species
CGCAUUUUUAGAAUAGAUAACGGUUUUGACAAAAAACCGUUAUCUAUGUAGUGUUGUCCAUACGUUUAGAUAACGGUUUGAGUUAUUCCGUUAUAUUUGUGCGUUAUCUAUUAGAUACAUACAUAACGGUAUUACAAAACCGUUAAGCCGACCGUUAUCUAUGAGCAUCUUUUUAUAGAAUUUUAAAAAUUAAAAGAAAAAAAAAUCAAAAAAUUGGCUUCUUCUUCCCCAAAUUGGCUUCGACACCUCCACUUUCCCCAAAAACUUAAAGAAAAACAGGGCUUCUGCAAUUCUUCUUCUCCAUCCGCCUUCUUCUCCAUCCGCCUUCUUCUUCGCCUCUCCUCCCCCCAUCCGCCUUCUUCUUCCCCAAAUCGACCCCUCUGCCAUAUACCAACUCUGUUCGCCCCGAU